CAGAACGCUCCCUGACGCCAGACCCCAAACUGGUAGCGCAUCUCGCUCCGUAGCCGUCCCCCCUUGGAUGUAACCAUGUAGAAACGAAGGGGUGGAAUUGGAAAAGAGACGAGGACAGCUGCCGCUUAAUACCGGUGUCCACUCGGACUCAGAUGCAGCGGGAAGCCGCAAUGGAGCGAAUGGGGAUGGAGGCAGUGGUGCCAUGGGUGCCUCCGCUAGGAACUCUGGUCGAUGCCCGAGGCGGGGUAAAGAGACCCUGCGGUUCCAGGACUCUACCUCAGUGGCGGGAAAACCUCAACCUGCACUGCACAGGCCCAAGUCAGGGAGCAUGCGCAGGGUGUGCGCACGCGCCUCUUGCUGCGCAUGCGCCUUAGUGCGCAUACGCCUUCCUGAGCGCAUUCUGUGAGAACCGUUGGGCCUGAGACGGGCGUGUUUAUUCAGUUCCGGUUCAUUCUCACUACUUGAGACUCACCAGGGAGAAAUAUGAGUGGGCAAGUGGCAUCAACACUGGGACCUACAGGUCAAGAUUCGUCCCAGCUGGAUGAACCUGUGGUUGACCAGCAGCCCAGUGUUGAGCAACCUCAACAAGAGGAAGCACCAGCUGAGAUUCAGGAUAUCACACCUGGAAAGGAGGAAGUCAAUGGAGAGGAUCCAGUGAAUCAUGAUGAAGAGAGGGAGAAGGAUGCCCCUGGAGAUUCUGACCUGGAAACUGAUCUCCAGGAAUUGGCUUUGGCAAAGACUGGGGGUCAAGGCGGAGAUGGUCCUGAUGUCAAGGAGGAGAUUGCAUCAAAUAUAGAGACUGUUGAAAUGCC